rnacentral:rRNA from 1 species
AUUGAACGCUGGCGGCAUGCCUAACACAUGCAAGUCGAACGGCAGCAUGAAAUGGGGUAACCCAUUUUGAUGGCGAGUGGCGGACGGGUGAGUAAUAUGUAGGAAUCUACCUAGAGGUGCGGGAUAACUUAGGGAAACUUAAGCUAAUACCACAUAAGCCCUACGGGGGAAAGCAGGGGACCGCAAGGCCUUGCGCCUUAUGAUGAGCCUACAUCGGAUUAGCUUGUUGGUGGGGUAAAGGCCUACCAAGGCGACGAUCCGUAGCUGGUCUGAGAGGAUGAUCAGCCCCACUGGGACUGAGACACGGCCCAGACUCCUACGGGAGGCAGCAGUGGGGAAUAUUGGACAAUGGGCGCAAGCCUGAUCCAGCAAUGCCGCGUGUGUGAAGAAGGCCUUAGGGUUGUAAAGCACUUUCAGUGGGGAGGAAGUUGAGUUUGCUAAUACCAGAUUCAAUUGACGUUACCCACAGAAGAAGCACCGGCUAACUCUGUGCCAGCAGCCGCAGUAA